UACGUAGGGUGCGAGCGUUAAUCGGAAUUACUGGGCGUAAAGCGUGCGCAGGCGGUUCGUUGUGUCCGUCGUGAAAGCCCGGCCUAACCUGGGAACUGCGAUGGAAACUAGCGAGCUGGAGUGUGGCAGAGGGGGGUGGAAUUCCGCGUGUAGCAGUGAAAUGCGUAGAGAUGCGGAGGAACACCGAUGGCGAAGGCAGCCCCCCUGGGCUAACACUGACGCUCAGGCACGAAAGCGUGGGGAGCAAACAGG
rnacentral:rRNA from 1 species